UACCCAAGCUGCUUUGUGCUCUA
rnacentral:siRNA from 1 species